rnacentral:lncRNA from 1 species
UCGAUGCCCUCCGUCCACCGCCGUCAUCAUCGCCCGACGGUGCCCUCGUUAAUCCUAUACUCUUUUUGAGUCUCUCCAAAUACCAGAAGCCGUCAUUCAAUAGGCAACAAUCUCUCUCCGGUAAUAAAAAACACCGACAACUUAUGUUUCGAGAACUCAUCGGAGCAAAGCUGUUAACUCAUCCUAUCUGUAGCCAAUUUUAGAUCGAAUUUUCAGAUUCGGUUCUGAUUUGUAUUCAUGAUUUUCGAUAAAAAUAUGGUUUGUAGUUGAUUUUCAAUAUAUUGUGGAGUGUCGUUGAUUUUUUAUAUUAAUUUUCUCUUAACCCAUUUUAGGCAUCCGUAGCGGCGAUCUGAUGUGGCAGAGUGGUAAUUGGCGGUUGACACAAGUGAUUUGCGUCCUUUCUUCACCUGAGAGUGAUUGGCAUGUAGAAGUUAGGGAGUGGUUGAGACGGCGGCGAUGGAACAAAUCACCCUCACAACUUUCGGAUUCAACACAUGAUCGGUAGAGAUAUAGCCCUUUCUCGAUGGAUAUGCGACUGUAAUGUUGAGGAUCUGCAUUCAACUAUAGUUGAUUAUAAUUUCUCUUAAAUUGAC